AUUCAGCUGACGAGUCCCAAACAGGACAAAACGAGCGUCCUGGAU
rnacentral:hammerhead_ribozyme from 1 species